GUGCCAGCAGCCGCGGUAAUUCCAGCUCCAAUAGCGUAUAUUAAAGUUGUUGUGGUUAAAAAGCUCGUAGUUGAACCUUGGGCCUGGCUGGCCGGUCCGCCUCACCGCGUGCACUGGUCCGGCCGGGCCUUUCCCUCUGUGGAACCCCAUACCCUUCACUGGGCGUGGCGGGGAAACAGGACAUUUACUUUGAAAAAAUUAGAGUGCUCCAGGCAGGCCUAUGCUCGAAUACAUUAGCAUGGAAUAAUAAAAUAGGACGCGCGGUUCUAUUUUGUUGGUUUAUAGGACCGCCGUAAUGAUUAAUAGGGACAGUCGGGGGCAUCAGUAUUCAACUGUCAGAGGUGAAAUUCUUGGAUCAGUUGAAGACUAACUACUGCGAAAGCAUUUGCCAAGGAUGUUUUCAUUAAUCAGGAACGAAAGUUAGGGGAUCGAAGACGAUCAGAUACCGUCGUAGUCUUAACCAUAAACUAUGCCGACUAGGGAUCGGACGGUGUUAUUCAUGACCCGUUCGGCACCUUACGAGAAAUCAAAGUGCUUGGGCUCCAGGGGGAGUAUGGUCGCAAGGCUGAAACUUAAAGAAAUUGACGGAAGGGCACCACCAGGGGUGGAGCCUGCGGCUUAAUUUGACUCAACACGGGGAAACUCACCAGGUCCAGACACAAUAAGGAUUGACAGAUUGAGAGCUCUUUCUUGAUUUUGUGGGUGGUGGUGCAUGGCCGUUCUUAGUUGGUGGGGUGACUUGUCUGCUUAAUUGCGAUACGAACGAGACUUAUCUGCUAAAUAGCCCGCAUGCUCCGGCAGUGCGCUGGCUUCUUAGAGGGACUUUCGGCUCAAGCCGAAGGAAGUUUGAGGCAUAAACA
rnacentral:rRNA from 1 species